rnacentral:snoRNA from 1 species
UGUUCAAAAUGGGGCACGAUCUGAAGUAAUCUUUGAAUCUUUCUCAUACUUUUGGAUAGCUCUCAAGAUCCUUUUGCUUGAAAGUAUGAAUUUCAUUUCUAAUAUG